CGAUCCGCAGGCGAUGCAUCUGGCGACCGCACACAAUCUGCGCUUUUUCGGGCGAUUGAUGCAGCUUUUGCAGGAAAAGUAAGCGCUUCUGGAGGAAAACAUGAGCGAACUGAAGGAAAAACUGCUCGCUUCGAAAAAAUAUCGCGACGUUUGCCCGGACACGAUCGAGCGCAUAUGGCGUGAAUGCAGCGCGAAAUUCAAAAAGGAAAAGGACGUGGACAAGGCGGCGCGCGAAGCGCUUCACGGCGUGACCGGCGCGUUCAUGACCGAGCGCGAAUACAAACGCGCAAUGGAAAUGGCGGCGGCACGCGAUUGGGAAGCGCUGCUUGGAAUGCACGCGUCCACGCGCGAACGGCUGCCUGUGGAAUCGAUGGAUCGCGUGUUCGAUCAGCUGUUUGAAGCCAGCGGAACGCCGGCGCGAAUCCUCGAUCUCGCGUGCGGGCUGAAUCCUGUCUACCUCGCGCAUCGAUUGCCAAAUGCGGCGAUUACCGGCGUGGAUAUCAGCGGUCAGUGCGUAAACGUAAUUCGUGCGUUUGGCGGCGCGGAAGCGCGUUUGGGCGAUUUGCUGUGCGAAAUCCCGGAAGACGAGGCGAAUGCGGCGCUGCUGUUUAAGGUGCUGCCGCUUUUGGAGCGCCAGCGUGCGGGCGCGGCGAUGGAUGCGCUAAUGCGCGUGAAUGCGGAAUGGAUCGUCGCAUCGUUUCCGACGCGUUCGCUCGGCGGGCGCAACGUCGGCAUGGAAAAGCACUAUUCCGAAUGGAUGGAGGCGCACGUGCCGGAAAAUCGCGCGAUUGCCGCGCGGCUGACCGGCGAAAACGAGCUGUUUUACGUGCUGAAACGAAAAUGAAGGUGGAAGAUUUCCGGUUCGAACUGUUCGAGCUGCGCGAUUUGGCGCGCGCGAAAGGCGUCGAUCGCCUGAAACGGGUGGGCAGAUUGCUCCGCAAACA
rnacentral:rRNA from 1 species